ensembl:lncRNA
CACUGUUUUAAAUUAAUUUCUUUAUUGUAUGUGUGUACAAUGUAAUAGCUAGUGUGGACGUUAAAGGGAAGCUUGUAGAAAUCAUUUCUCUUCUUAAACCAUGUGGGAUCUGGGACUGAACUCAGCUUGUCAAGCUUGGGGACAACUUUUUUUACCUGCUGAGCCAUUUCUCUGGCCCAACUUUAAAUUUUUAAAGUAAGAAACAUUAAUGUUAACAUGCAUUUGCCAGACACAGAAAUGCUUUUGACAAUUUAUAUAAAAUAUAUGCACAUAAGCUUAAAGAAUUUCUCCAAAGAAAACACACAAAUGUCAAAUAAACCCAACCUCACCAAUCAUUAGAAAAUGCAAUUAAUACAAUAAAGUGCCACCUCACAUACAAGGACAACAAUUUAAAAAACAACCACACAGAGAACUGAUGCUGUAAGUGCAGCUCAGUGGUGGCGAGCCUGUCUGUUUACAAAGCUCUGGUCUACUGCCACAAAACAACCAAACACCCAAAUGCCAGGAUGGGGGGAAUCUGGAAACCUUGAGUACAGCACUGGAAAAACAGCACAAUGGCUCUUUAACCAAUGUGUAACCAAUGACAUGUGGAAAUCUACUCCCGAGACUGUAUCAAACGCCCCAAAAGCAGAGCCCAGACAUCCACACACUCGUGUACAUGGCCACAUUACCCACAAUAGCCAAAACGCAGGCGGAACCAAAAUUUCAGCAAUGGUAGAUGAACAAAAUGCAGGGCAUACAUAGAAUGGAACUUUGUUAGGCUUAAAAAUAUAGAAAUGCGGGGUUGGGGAUUUAGCUCAGUGGUAGAGCGCUUGCCUAGCAAGCUCAAGGCCCUGGGUUCGGUCCUCAGCUCCGGAAAAAAAAAAUAGAAAUGCAAACACAAGCUAAGAUAUUAUGCAAUUUUAGUGAAAUUUAAGUGAAAUGAGUCAACCACAAAAAGGAAAAUUAUUAUUCCACUUACAUGGGGUAUCUAAAAUCGGCACCUUUAGACAUACAGAAAGGUGCUGGAAGAACAUACGGAAAGGUGCUGGAAGAAAAAGAAGGGGCGUCUGAUGUCUAAAAAGGCAGCUCGAGCACAGAGGUCAGUGUGCAGAUGGUGAUAUGUAGGAAGACAGCGCUCAGAAGACUCAUGUCCAUGGCUAACAAAAGGGGAAAAGGCAAAAGUGAGGACUGAGAGAAGGUGAGGUGGAGCGGGGUGAUGACCCGACAACAUGGUGACUACAGAGGGAGCCCACUGGAUUCCGUUGUCUUACCCCACUGAGCACAUGUAUAGUCAGCAGAGAAGGCUUACCUCUAUCGGAAGGUGGGCCAAAUAACUUAUAGAGGCCUUUAGGUGACAGGAUUACCCUGAGCCGAAAUUACCUUAUAUACACAGAGCACUGACAACCCAUGUCUACACUCAAGAGGGAAGAAUGGCCUCGUGACUUUACCCAUCAGGGUGACCACACUCUCUCAUUCCAGAGAAAGGCCCAAGAUGAUAAAAUCAUCUGGAGUAGGGAUGUUUGGAAUCACAUCAGGGCUUUGUAAAGCAAGAGCUCUAUCAGUGAACUCUAUCUCCUACCUUGUGGUUUUCAGGAUUCUGCAGAUGUUUUUCCUCACCCCCCACACCUCCCUGAAAAUACUUGGAAUAAGAAGCUACUCCAUCUUCUUCCCAUGAUGCUGUCCCAAGAACCAAAGAACGUCAGAGAAACAGUUCUCAACCACAAGCCAGCCACCACACUGACUACACUGCCUGCCUUCUGGGGGAAAUUCCCAGAAAUAGCUGAACAGCAGGGGCUGUAGCAGGCGAGGUACCUAGCAUCCUCUCAGUAAUAUAACACUUACCAGCCUUUGUGGCCAGGCCUGUGUCUGCUUUGCACCAAAUGACCAUCCAGUCCAGACUCUGUUCAUUCUACCAAUCAACUUUUUCUACACACAACAUACUUCCACUCUAGACAAGACUGAAACAGAACUCAGACACUUGGUUUCAGCAUAGCUAUCUGGAAGCCUUACACACCAAAGGCUGUUGGCUAACCUCUCUUAUCCUCCACCACAGUUAGACCACACCAUGACAUCAGGACAUCAAAUUCUCCUGACUGUUGUAUGACUUGAAUUACUUGUCACCUCUGCCAACAAAAAGCCAGAUCAUGAAGAAGGCCCUAACCAUUCAUUCAUCCGUAUUCCAACCAAAGACAGCUGAAUGUACAUGGGUUUCUAACAAGGACAGAAACUGACAAAAACAAAAUUAUCUACAGUAGCUUCAACCAGGAAGGCAAUCAGAUCAAGAGAUGAGCAGGGCCAGUGUGAGGUAUGUCUACAAAACAUUUGAGUUGUCAAAGAAUUCUCACCACAGUCCCAAAGGACUUAGAGGGCUCUCCUCAGACCAGCUGCACAGUGAGACUCUCCACACUUUGGCCCAAUACUUUUCUUUUUAGACAGGGUUCUCUAUGCACUCAUGGCUAUCUUGGGACUCACUCUAUAGACCAGGCUAAAGAGAUCUACCUGCCUCCGCCUCCUGAGUGCUGGGAUUAGGGGGAUGCCACUACCACCUCCCUGCUAGGUCAGAUACUUUGAGAGCUAUUUCAAUAUGAUUGGUACUUUUUUUUACACU